AGAGGUUGCCCUUGGUGAAUUCGCUUUAUUUACGUUGAAUCACACAAAGGCAACUUUUGU
rnacentral:precursor_RNA from 1 species